rnacentral:lncRNA from 13 species
CUGUUUUUAAAUCAGGCAACGCUAGCAAAGUAAGUUACAAUACAAUACAAUACAACUUUAUUAAAUCAGGCAACGCUAGCAAAGUAAGUUACAAUACAAUACAAUACAAUACAACUUUAUUAAAUCAGGCAACGCUAGCAAAGUUACAAUACAAUACAAUACAACUUUAUUAAAUCAGGCAACGCUAGCAAAGUUACAAUACAAUACAAUACAAUACAACUUUAUUAAAUCAGGCAACGCUAGCAAAGUUACAAUACAAUACAAUACAACUUUAUUAAAUCAGGCAACGCUAGCAAAGUUACAAUACAAUACAACUUUAUUGUCCAAUAUUGACAGUACCGUCACUGCCAAUCUUAUCUCAACAGAAAUCAUCAGAUGUCUGUCACAUUA